GACGAACGCUGGCGGCGUGCUUAACACAUGCAAGUCGAACGGAAAGGCCCUGCUUUUGUGGGGUGCUCGAGUGGCGAACGGGUGAGUAACAUGUGAGUAACCUGCCCUUGACUUUGGGAUAACUUCAGGAAACUGGGGCUAAUACCGGAUAGGAGCUCCUGCUGCAUGGUGGGGGUUGGAAAGUUUCGGCGGUUGGGGAUGGAUGCGCGGCUUAUCAGCUUGUUGGUGGGGUAGUGGCCUAACAAGGCAUUGACGGGUGGCCGGCCUGAGAGGGUGACCGGCCACAUUGGGACUGAGAUACGGCCCAGACUCCUACGGGAGGCAGCAGUGGGGAAUAUUGCACAAUGGGCGGAAGCCUGAUGCAGCAACGCCGCGUGCGGGAUGACGGCCUUCGGGUUGUAAACCGCUUUCGCCUGUGACGAAGCGUGAGUGACGGUAAUGGGUAAAGAAGCACCGGCUAACUACGUG
rnacentral:rRNA from 1 species